ensembl:snRNA U4 U4 spliceosomal RNA
AGCUUUGCGCAGUGGUGGUAUCUUAGCCACGGAGGUUUAUCUGAGGCGCGAUUAUUGCUAAUAGAAAUCCACAGUUCCUUUACCUGUUCUGGCUUUAAUAGACUAUGUGGUCCUAGUAAAUCAUUUAUUCUGGAAU